ensembl:lncRNA
AUGCCUCAAAAGCUCCUAAUCUGCUCUGUCAGGAGCAUGACGUCCGGGUGUUUCACAGCCAGCUCACGUCCCUGCUUCCUUCUCCCCCCUUUCCUUCCCUGCCUGGUAAUCGUAAAUGGAAGUGGCACCCGUUCCUACAGCUGCUGGGGCCCACUUUGUGCAGAGCCUGGCCUCUGGUGGGGCUGCAGCUGUGGUCCCGAUGUGCCCCGUCCCACCGUGACAGCCACUGAGGCCAUCUUCCCUCCAGAGCCUGGAGGUGCAGUGAACUUGCUUGACACGUCAACGAUGCCAGGGGACUGGGGUUGGCUGACCUAUCCCUCACAUGGGGUAAGUAUGCAGCAGCUGCUGAGGGAUGCAGCAUGGGUGGACCAGGCUGUUGUGACCAGGCCCUGAGCUCUGAGAUUAUUCACACCUCCCAGGGAACUCGAGAGAUGGGUUGCCCUGUGAAGUGUUUUGGUCACUGCUGUGCUGGGACAGCGUCUGGAUUUUCCUCCAAAAUGACCAGAAAGAACUGAGGGGUUUGUAAUUGGAGGAGUUUGAUGUAGGAGCUGAACAAACAGGGCAGGGGAGAACCCACUGCAGCUGAAUUCUUAUGGGGUAUAAAUGUGCAGCCCAAUGAGGAGGGGUUUGGGGCCAUCAACCCCAUCCUCCCCACAUGCUCCCUUUGCUCCCAUUUCCAUGGCCAGGUUUUCCUGCUGCAGCAGCUUUCUGCAAACUGUAAAUGUCAGUUUCAGAUGGCAGUGACCUGGCUGUAAGGACUUUUUCCAUUUAUUGAGUGAGCAGAAACAAUUCUAUAAAUACAGGCAGAACCAACUGCGAGGCACGGCGUGGCAUCCUGCAUACACAGAACGUGCCAAGUCGGGGUGCUUUACCCAGCUUGUGCUGCUGCAUUGGUUUUUCAUGUCCACUCUUUUUUAUCCCCUCUCUGAACUAAAUGGUGCUAAUCUUUUCAAUUCCACCUCCUACAGAAAUCUUCCCAGGCCCCUAAUCAUUUUCAUUGAUCUGUUGCCUGAGACUUUCAGUCCUUGUGCUGUCUGUUUGAGAAGGAGUGAUCAGAACUGUGAGUUCAUAAUAGGAACAGGGAUGAGAUUUAUAUCAGAUAUUAUCAUACAUGUAAAUAUAUUAAAUCAUUAACUCAGCUCUAAUUUUAGCAGUUACAAUGAUGACUGGUGUAGAAAUAUAAUAGAUACAAGCCCUAGGUAAGUCAUGGGGUAACACCCCUCUCCACUUACCCCAUGCUUUUGCCCAACUCAUGGCCUUACAAUGGAGAAGGGAACCAUGCAGCUCUGUGAAAACUGAUUUGAAUACCACCAAGGAGGAUGCCUGGGUUUUGAUGUGACAUUCUUGCACUAAUAAUUUUCUAUGUCUUUUUCCAGCUGGAUGGAAGAAUUUAGUCUCAGAAAGAGUGGGGAUACACUGGCACAGGACCAGGGAGGUGGUGGGGUCACCAUCCUUGGAGGUGUUCAAGGAAAGUGUAAAUGGUAGAUGUGGUACUCAGGGACGUGGCUCAGUGGGCAAUAUUGGUGGUAGGUGGACGGUUGGACUGGAUGAUCUUAGAGAUCUUUUUCAGACUUGAUGAUUUUAUAAUUCUGAGUUUUAAUGGCUCAUCUGAACACCUAUCUGGACUUAUUCUUUCUCCAUGGACUACUGCAUUGCAUCAUCCUGAAAGAGCAUCUCAUUUCUUUACUCUCCUGGAGUUCUCCAACUCCAAGUGCUUUUUUUUGGGUAGUAACUUUGCACUUGGUACCAAUGGCCAUCACCACAAAUGGAGGCAGGAGGUGGAUGACCCAUAACUUUGUAGCUUGUGCCCGCCUGGAUCCAAACCUGGCGUCUGGGAAAGGGCUGGAUGCCUGAUGGUGUGGGACCCCUCUUGCUUUGGGGUUUCCCCACAGUGUCUCUGCUCUGUCCAGAUGUGCAUCCUUUGCUGUAUCCUCCUGCCGAGGGAUGGCAUCACUGGCCCUAACCCUGACUGAAGGCACCCUUGUGUUUGUUUUACCCCCUUCUCCAUUCCCCUUCCCUGUGUGAGCCACGGGCCGCCACAUGAAAUCAUAGAGAGGUGGGGUGGGAAGAGACCUUAAGAACCUUACAGGAAUGCUUUUCCUCUCUGGGUUUGCCUUGGCCAAGCAGGGUGGAGGAGCAGGGGGCUGAGAGCCCUUGGUGCAGCAGAGGGUCAGCGGCACUGCUGGCCCCAGGGAGUACCAAGCCAUCAGGGAGCCAUGCGUGGCCUGUUUUGACAUUUCUCUUGCCAGAUAAUCGUCUGAGGGGUAAUUGGCUGUAAUAGCUGCUCAGGGGUUUAAUUGCGUCCCCCCCCUCACCUCCACCCCAAGACACGUGCAGUAAGCAGAAGGGUCACCGGGAGCAUCCCCAUCCUGCAGGCUGCAGCUCCUCUCAAUUAUGCCUUCAAAGGGCUCCCAGGAGCUCUGCAGCCCGCUCCGUCCCCAGAACAAUUCCCUUCGCAUUGAAAAUUAGACUCUUAUCACUGCUGUCAAAGAGGCUGCCUCUGCCCUCCCGUGCCUCCGGUAUGCCAACACUUUCCAGCAAAGUGCCCCAGUGCCCCAGUGCCCUUCUCUCCCCUCUCCUUGCCUGGCACGUGACCUGCCGGAUCAGAGGGAUCCUGAUCGGCCUCUUUGCAAAUUGCUUUUCUACUGACUAAUUAAAAUGCUG